AUUGGUAUAAAAUGUAGACCAUUAAUUAAUUAACCAAAAUACUCUAUUUGUAACUAAGUGAAUAACAUUGAAGAUCUCGAGGCAUUUCACAAAUAAUUGUUCGAUCUAGUUUUGUCCGGUCAAAAUUGUCUCCUUUCUGAAUAUAAUUUUGAAAAGAAAAUGCAAACCAGCUAUAUCCGAUAUCAAUUAUCUAAAGUAGUUUUCUUUUCUACCGGAAAAAGUAGUAAUUAUCUUUAAAUAAUAUAAUUCAUGUUACAAUGUACCCUCUAAUAUAUUCAUACCCAACCAUAGGUUAUACGAUUCGACACACAUUUGAGAAGACUGCAAUUUAAUUUCUAUCUAUGAAUUGUUUUUUCACUAUUAAUCAAACUAUAUCAGAAAAAUAUGGAUAAGCUUUUUCUUUCGUUGGGUUGAACGAUCGACAAGAGACUGUAGGGGAGAAGAAAGAAAAUUAUUAGACAAGAAUCGCUUCCUCACAUAGCUUUUUGUCUUAUCAAAGCAUAGUGUCGUAGAAAAACCCAAAAGCUAAAUAAGAAAAAGUGAUGAUUUGAUAAUAAUAAUCGUAUCAUUUCCUUGUUGUUGAAUUAUAUGCCAUCAAUCAUUUGCUUUAUGAUGUUCCACUUUUCUUCUCUUUCUUUCUUUAUUCGUGUAUAUUGUAUUUUUGUUAUAACGGCCUUGGUUUUCUUAUGUAUAUUUGGUUUCUG